rnacentral:misc_RNA from 1 species
AUUUUGCUCUGCCUUGAGCUAUUAGUUUACCAUUUUUGGGACCACACUUGUCACGCCAUGAUGCAAUUAUUUCUUUGGUGAUUCUGGAAUUAAUUACUAUGUUACAAUUGAUAGACUAUAGGGGUAACUCUAUGUUUAAGAUUUUGGUGAGUAUUUGAUUGUUUGUAGAGCCAACCGUAAUUUAUUUUAGUAACAUGCAAUUUGAAGGGUGUUAAUAAUUUAAUAUUAUAGGUGCAAGUGAUAUAUUUUGUUUGUGGUUUCCAUGUCACUGCUGCUUCAUUAGAAUAUCUGAGCUGGAGAGCUCUUCUCUUGACUUCAAAUUCUGAUGAUAUUAGGGUUUCAUGUUUUGAUAAAAUAUAAUGCUUGAUUUUCUUCAUUGUUUUGGAAAUGUUUAUUUGAGAAUAAAUCAGUUGUUUAGAUGACAUAAUUGCCCUUUAAAAGUUAAUAUUCGCAAAAGAAUAUGAGAUUGUCUAUGCUGCCAUGCGGAUGGUAUUGAGGGCCUAAUGAAACAUUGAAACUUGUUAGAAUGUUUCACACAUAGGUCCUACUUAGUUUUAGACAGAUCCUUGCUUUUACCAUCUCAAAUGAUUUGGUUGAGUUUGUGUGGAACACCAGAUGGAGUCAUGGCAUAACUGUCAUUCAGAAAACUGGCUCCUUUGAAGCAUAAAUUCCAGCAACAGAACCUUGAUAACCUUGAGGUGCUAGUUGCAGUUAAACACUGGGAAAUUUUAUUGCUCCAGUUCUCAUACCAAUUCCAUGCCAUCAAUUGCAUGCAACUGGAAAAAGUUGAAUCUUAUACAAGAAGAUACAAGUUUGAAAAAGUUAAAAGAUUUAGGCAUAUGUAUUUUGCUGAAAGUCUACUUUCGAUAUAAGCCAAUGACAUGGUAUUAUUCUGAAACAAUCAGUAAUUACAUGAAUGUUUAAUUUACACAUGGCAAUGCUUUGAUGAUAUAAGGAGACUCAUGUCUAGGACUUCUAUUUCUGUUUUUCAUUUGCAAAAUGUGUCUUUUUGGAUAGUUUAGACCUUUGCAUUGAGAAGCUUAAAAAGGUUUCCAUGGUGAAGUUAAAGUUGUAAAACACAAAAUCAGUACUUUAUUAUGUUGUUGUUCUAUGCAUCAAAUAAACCGCAGUUGUUUGAUGAGUUUUCUUAGGUUUCCUUAUUUUAAUUGCUCUCAUUUAUGACAUCUUGUGCAUUGACUUUCCUUGUUUAUUUUCCUCCUUGUUCUACAAGGGCAUAUGUGAUUUCAUGAUUUAAGAUUCUUAACAGCAGUUUGAGUUUGAACCUCAUAUCCUGUGCCUUUCCAGUGUUUAUACAAGCUGCGGAUUGUUGUUGCCAA